rnacentral:lncRNA from 1 species
AGUUUAAAUGUUUAUAUUUGCUUUUGAUGUUGUUUUUCUUCUCAAUGUUUGUUUACCCAACGGUUGGUAGGAUGAGGCGCUGGUUAGACCUUACCUGUCGCUGCUUGUGUGUGGAACUGGUGCUGGAACAAGGGGAGGGUUGAAUGUUAGCCAGCACUGCGCCGCCGGUCCAGGGCACGGGCGCUCCAGUCCCCGCAGAGCUGAGAGACUUCCCCCCGCCUCCAUCUCUCUCGCUCUCCUUCCAGUCAACGCGCAGCUCUCUCGAUCCGCUCAUUUCUCUUUCCAAAGAGACAUCCGCAUUUUCAAUCUCUCCCCUGCUCGCCGCUCUCAUCACGGACGGCUCGCCCGUUUCGCCUCCAUUCGGCAUUAUAAACACGGAGCUACCGAGGCGCCAUCAAACCCAGUGGUGCGCGCGUGUUGCACUUCGGACUUGUUUUGAACACAUUUUUCUCUUGAUUGAUCAUGCAUAUUUCAAUAAACUUUAUUAAAUAUGCUUGCAUUGUGUUUUGUGAUGACUAUUAUCAUUAUAAGACACAUUUAGUCAAGCAGGUUGCUUUCCCAGAGCGCGUGCACGGUGUGAAAGAAGAGUGAACUGUUGUGUACAUUAAACAUCUUUUCAGCA